CGCCGUUGGCGUGGAUGUAAUGCUUCAAGAAUUUAGAGUGAAGGAUGGGAAAGAGUUGCCUUUAUCUAAAGUUGCAGCUCCUGUAUAGGUACUGGCAUGUGUUUACAGAGGCCAAAAAGAGGACGACUCAAGAGGAUGUCAAUAAGAUAGAGCUUCAGAGGAUUGUCACUGACAAGCAUAGGUUGAUUACUGAACUGCAGGGGGUAUUGAAGAGAAGGAGGGGGGAAGGAUGCAGAGGGGUGCACUUAUGAGGCGGAUGUAGAUAUGCCGUCUAUUGAGUUUGAGAGUGUCAGCAGCCUGACAGUACCUUAGGAGCAUGUGGAUGCAUAGCCUACUGAGAUAGUUAUGGGCUCUCAUCUCCCAUACAGUCCUUUAUCUCACUACUUUCAAGUACUCCUACUUCCACAAGAAAGCCUAAAAAGAAGUCAAUCUGUAGAAGGGAUGAUGUGCUGAGUAUGCUAUUGGACAUAUGGAAGGUUUCUAAUAAAGCUACACGAGACUUCAUACCUCAUUCGUUAGUUGAAGUCAAGUAGAUAUUUGUGCCUAUAUACUCAUCAGUACACUGGUACUUGCUUAUUAUGAAGGGUGCAGAGGGCUCGUUUCCCAUCCUUAGUCAAGUAGAUAUUUGUGGCCCAUAAUUACGGAUGCUCUGUGCUGGAGUUGCAUGUCAGAUAUGCUGCAUAAAUGAUCAUGAAGGGUCAUGAAGGGGAAUCAUCAUCCUAGUUUGUUCCAUUAUACUCUAUAUUCAGUUUUGUGAGUAGAUGUAUAUUUGCUCCACUCUUUAUUUAUGUACAUUUAUAAAUAUUUGUAUUCUAUCAAAA